GGCCGCGUGGCCUAAUGGUUAAGGCGUUGGUUUUCGGCUAUCGAUUUCUCUAGGAGAUUUGGAUGAAAAGCACCAAAGAUUGGGAGUUCGAAUCUUCCCGCGGUCG
rfam:Exophiala xenobiotica strain CBS 118157 unplaced genomic scaffold supercont1.4, whole genome shotgun sequence.